rnacentral:lncRNA from 1 species
GGGGGGGGGGGGGGGGGGGGGGGGGGGGGGGGGGGGGGGGGGGGGGGGGGGGGGGGGGGGGGGGGGGGGGGGGGGGGGGGGGGGGGGGCACAGCGCUGCGCGGUUAGUGCACUCUGCUCCAGGGGACACUCAGGGUGCACGUUGGGAACAAUUUCUUCACAGGAAGCGUGAUUAGACACUGGACGCGCAGCACAGAGCGGUGUCGCCGUCCCUGGAGGUGUUUUAAGGAAACCUGGACGGGACCCCUGGUGCCGUGCUCUGCUUCACAAGGUGAUGUUGGGUCAGAGGUUGGACUCGAUGAUCCCAGAGGUGUUUUCCAGCCUAAUUGAUUCUGUGAUUUCACACAAGAUAAUUUUUCAGUCUGGUUACCUGGCCCACAGCCACCUUUGUUCAUACUCUAAUGGCAACCUUUACACGAUGGCAGAACCACUUAACCUUCAACGUAAUGGAGUUGCAGAUGCAGAUUUAAGCAACAGGGUCACAGGUGUCACAUUCUAA